rnacentral:lncRNA from 1 species
CUGCCCUUUCUUCUUCCCUCCACCGCAGGUUGUGGGAGGCCUCAGGGUAUCUGCUUUCAAGCUUGCCUGGCCUAGGGGUCCUAAGGCUCAGUCCCUCCUGGGCGGGCGUCCCUCGUCCAGCAGCCUGAGGGGAGCUGAGCCUCCUCCUUGCCCCACACCGGCCGGGGGCGGAGGAUUCCGGCUCAGCCCCAGGCGCCGGGGCGUCGGCUAAGAAACUUACCUGCGCGGAGCCGCUGCCGGAGCUCCCGCGUCGCAGUCAACUGCGCGGCAGCCGCCGCAUCUCCCGGCAGCAGGUCCCCCCAACCCGCCCUUGCAGCGGGGUCCUGUGCCGCACUUUUCCCAGCCUGGGAAGUAGGUUGAAAGCGCGGAGGUGGGAGGUGGGGGUGGGGCGGGGUGAUCUGGGAGAAGAGGCUUAAGGAUGUUGUUGUCGUUUGUUUGUUUGUUUGUUUUCCCCGAUCUCUAGCAAAGACUUUAGACCAUAUGCUGGGAGAAUAUUAGCUUUGCUCAAUGGCGACAAAGCCGCGGCCUGUCUCUCACAGUCCGAUCGAUUUACUAAACAAACUGAAACGUGGGUGGGGAUGUUAAACAGUAACCAGCAGCCUCAAUGAAAACUGAAAGCGGCGGGGCCGCCGCCGCCUCGGCGCGCUCAUUUCCCUGUUCCCAAGGCCCCAGGGCGACCAGCGGGAGGGCCAGUAAGUCCCAAAGCCCGGCCUGCGUGGACCUUAGCUGCUCUCCGGGGCCUCCCGGAGGCCGCCAGGCGGCACCUACAAGCCACAUGCCUUAAUUUCCACCAUCAGGGCUCGGCGCUCGGCGGCUCGACCACUGGGUGCCGGAGUCCUCUCUCUCCCGCCUCCCGCACCCGGAGGACCCCCGCCAGGUUCCGCGCCCGCGGCCUGAGGCUAAGCAAGGUCCCCGCGACGCAGGCACCGUCCCCCUACCCCGCCCGGGUCAUGCCUCGCCCAGGGCGGUGUCAACCCUGGGCCAGCGCGUUUGGACAGGAGGUUGCGGAGAGAAGUUUGCUGACCCAAGAAUGCAGAUAUAAUUCCGAGCCAUUGAGCCAAUGACAAAAGGGCCGGAAGUAUUAGUAAAGGGAAUCAAACAGGUUCCUAGGGACAGCACCGAGGCCGCACCACUAGCGGAAGCCGCAACCUCUGGCCGCUGGGGUUAAUUUCUGCCUGAGGCUUGUGACCACCUUGCUCUGCUGGAGUUCUGGGAAGAAGAGGAAGACUGGUUUUCCAUUCCCGGUCAACCCAGCCACCUGUGGAUUCAGUCACUUUGCACCUCUUUACAUAAGUAUCCGAUGGAAAGCUUGCUUUCGUCUUCCCAUUACCCUAGGCGCAGUCGCAAACUUUAGACUUUGACAAAUGAUGCUCAGACCCAUUUGAGAUGCUCUGGUCAUCUGGAUCAGGCUUUUGUUAACCAAGCAAUAGUCAGAAGCUGUGGCUUUUAAAAACAUCUCAACAAUUUAACUUCGUGAUUUCAGGAAUGAAUGACUUCAGGUCAAACAAGUAAUUAUCCUCAUGCGAUAAAUAGUUACUUAAUCCGUAAGGUUUUUCUUUUCCGACCAGGGGGUUGGCAGAUAUUUUAAGACUGUAAUAACAAUGCCAGGGAGAUCAAAGGGCUAGGUAUUUUUUUCUUUUUCUUUUUAGAUCGGGUUUACUAAACUUUCUCAGUUUCCUCCUUCUGAAUCUCUUGCUGAAAGGCUCUUUUAAAAACAAAUGGUUGUUUUAGAAAUCAGAACAAAGGGGAGAGAUCAUAUACUAUUUUCUUUAAAUCGACCCUGUUGAGCAAAACACAUUCUUUAAGUCCUCAUUGCCCACGUGGUCUGCAAACCCUGUCAGAGUGAGGGCCUCUGCCCAUGCUGGCUCCAGGAAAACUGUCCAGAGAAUGCUGAAGCGGAAAAGAAACAAUUAGCAGGUUGUAUUUAUUAUGCAAAUAUUUCACAGGUAUGUUGUUUAAAGAUUACCUGUGGACAUUCUCUUUAAAAAUAUUUCCAGAUACUUGGAUAGUGAAGGUUGUCUUAUUACUUGCCAAAAUAAAAAUAUACAGUUCCCAUAAAACGCUGAAAAGUCUGAGAACAGAAACUGUCCAUUCGCAUUCACGGGAGCUUUAAUGCCAUCUGACAUCUGUUGUUCCCAGAAGAGAAACCAUAUUUUAGUUCAAUAGCCUCAGUUUAUUUCAUUGCUAGCAAUUCAUGAUGUCAGUGGGUUGGGUUUUGGAUGAUCAAUUCCUCAUCAAUGUGUCGCAGAAUCGCUGAUCUACCAGGAAGUGAUCAUCACAUAUUCAGUGUUCAAAAUUAUUUUGACACAAUAUGUAGAAUGUCUGCCAGGGAAUUUUAUCGCCACAAGGAUUAUGAGUAAUAAUAAGGAAAUUGACAGUAUAUUAAAAGAAGUAUAAACUCUGUUAAGACUUUGCUAUCUUCUAAAGGAAGCAUUGCAUUUGUUCAAUUUAGAAAAAUCUCCAAGAGUGUAUGUAACACUGCCAGUCCUCCUGCAUCAGCAGCAAGUAGGGAGUGGUUUCAGGUGACUAAAUAAAUAAACAAAUAGGUGACUCUGAGGGCUAAAGGAAAGUAUGGGGAGUUGGCUCAGCUCUCGGUAUGGCAGUUUUUUCUAAACCAACCAAUGUCAAUUGAUCAAAUUUUAGAGCAUCACUUAUAUUGUCCCUAAAACUAAUAUAUUAUGAUUCUUCAUGGCGUGGAUUUAUGAUGCUGAAAAUGAAAAACGUGCUCCAUGCACGGCGAGGUAGGGAGUGGUGGAACAGCACAAGGAGAGGAAAGAGAUCGGGAUAAUUUUUUAGGGAAAGAUUCUCAGAAGAUGCAAAGUACUGUUUCAAUAGUUAGUGUUUAGGAAGAAAUUAUACACAUAUAUAUUUAUGUCACAUGUGCUCCGAAACUAAACACAGAAAAGUGGCAUCAGAAAACCCUUUGCCUCACUUUACGUCCCAUUUAGCCUGGGCUUUUCCUUUCCGCUUUGAUCACCAUUUUUGCACCAUCCCCCCCCCCCGCCCUUCUUUCCAAUGCCCCCAGACCGUCUGGAGAAAAACUCCGCGUUUUCCCGGGAGCGUUUCUGAUACUAUUAAUGAAAAGCAGUGGCCUCUGGCAGAGCGCUUGGGAGGUGGGGAGGGCGCGGGCAGGCGCGCGGAACCUCGAGGGAAAAAAAGGUCUUGAAGAUUCCUACACCUAGAGACCGUGUUUCCGAGGGCAACCCCAGCCCCUGGCCAGUACAGAAACCUUCCCAAGAUGCGAACGGACGUGUCCUCUACUGGUCCAGGCGACCCCCACCUCCCCUGACCUGGUGCGACCGUCGUCGCACCCACACUGGAGCGGGCCACCGCCUCGGCGGGCGUAGUCCGUGAGGAUGGCCGGCCACCCUCACGCACGCUUACACGCCUUGGGAAAAACAAAGGAAAAGUCAAACGCUCAUGCAGUUCUCCAUUUGCCGAUUCUUUCUGGAUUUGGGCAAAAUCCAGGUGACUCCUUGCAGGCUAUUCGUAUGUAAAGAAAGGCGAGCUGGAAGCAGCCACCCGGACUCAGGUGAAAUUUAAAAGUCUGGAGCGGCGCUAAGCGCAUUCCCAACUCUACCUUUCGGGCUGUGUUUGACCUUGGGGGCAAAACAACGGGUAAAGUAACCUCGGCCAGAAUUUCAAAAACUCUCUGGACUCCACCGCAUAUUUUAUGCAUCAGAAGUGAAGGCCGGGAUCCCGAUACUUGGGACUGGGGUGAGGAAAAGGCUUUGCUAGCGGGUAGUGGGCUGAGGGGAACAGCCUAGAGCCAUCCAGGCCUCGGGGCUUUUCCCCUCCCGCAGCUGCUCGCGAUCUUGUAGUCCACCCCCUUCUCUUUCAGAGAAAGCACAGACCUUUUGCACCCUAGUACAGCCCUGAGCGAGGCACUGCCAGGGGCUCCCGCCGCGGGGAAAGAGGAUGCUAAGCCAUUUCAUCUCCUCCGACCCUGCGCAGUCGCUUCCGCGAGGUCUGCCUCUCCUGCCCGGAGUAGUAACAGAUUUUGACUCUGAAUCCCGGGCUUUGGUAUCCUGGUCUGUUGGAGUUGCCAAACUUUCUUCGGGGCACCCGCCUUUAAUACUUUGAAUUUAAAGUGGCAAAACAAACAAACAAAUAAUAAUAGAAACCUCAAAACCUAGCAGAACAGGCAGAUUGAAUACGGAGGAGGAACUGACUGGUGUCCCUUCAACAGCACCGCUAUCAACACCGAGUGGAUCCUAAAAAGUAACAUAAAAAUUGGCCUUUCUUGGAGUUCCCCUUGUGGCUCAGCGGUAAGGAACCCCGACUAGCAUCCAUAAGGAUGCGGAUUCGAUCCCUGGCCUCGCUUUGUCAGUUAAGGAUAACCCCCCCCCCAACUGCCCUGUAGGUCACAGUGCGACUGGGAUUUGGCGUUGCUGUGGCUGUGGUGUAGGCCGGCAGCUACGGCUCAGAUUCAAUCCCUAGCUUGAGGAACCUCCAGUCUAGGUGUGGCCCUUAAAAAAAAAAAAAAAAAAAGUCUUUUUGUUUUGCUCUAGUAACAGAUCAGGAGCACCCAGAUUAAGCCCGGAGUAAAUAUGGCCACGGAAUGACCCUAUUACCUGUUACUAUAAAUGUAAAACCAAGAUUUCAGAUUUAAGCUUCUAAAUUGAAACCCCUCUUUGGAUGGACGUUAGGCAUCUAGCCGAGACCCUGUCAAAAUCGAAUAUUCACUAAUUCUCAACGUCAACUGUAUGGGUCCUCUGCCAAAAAAAGCAAACUGCUAGGCUAGGUCUCUUUUAUCCCUACCUCCUCUCUUUGUAGAUUUCCUGCUGAAGUAUUGAUUGCCAAGAUCUCUGCAAGAUUUGCAAACUUUUACAGUCAUUUAUGGGGCAGGCAAUAAAAAAGAGGUGAUAUGAACCUGCUAGUUCAAGGUGUAAUUCAAAGAUGUAUUUGGUGCCCUUGGCAACUAUCUGUGGGACCUGUUUGUCUUUGCAGAACACACCCUUCUCUGCAAUGAACCCCUCUGCAACAAAGAUUGGCCCUUUACAUUUCCAAGGCCUUGGCCCCUCAAUGGAAAGCAUGAGCUCAAACCAGAAAAUUCAAUUAUUUCUACCUCAUUUCACUCCAGGGGAAAAAUAACUCCAAUCAAAAUUGUGGAGGAAAAAAAAAAAAGAAAGAGAGAAAAGAAAAAGAAUCAUUUAAAAGUUCUUUACUUCCCUACUUUCUCCUAUCAUAAAGAAAAAUAAACAAAUCAAUUACCAAGUUAUAAGGUAAUCACCAACUGCCCUUCGCAUAACAAGACCUUCCAUGGUGAGAAAAUAAAAGGAUUUAGAUUAUUCAGAAACAACACACCAUUUAGAUUGCAUGUGC